rnacentral:rRNA from 1 species
AGAGUUUCAUCAUGGCUCAGAUUGAACGCUGGCGGCAGGCCUAACACAUGCAAGUCGAGCGGUAACAUGUCUAGCUUGCUAAAUGAUGACGAGCGGCGGACGGGUGAGUAAUGCUUGGGGAUCUGCCUUAGAGUGGAGGAUAACCAUUGGAAACGAUGGCUAAUACUGCAUAGUAUCUGCGGAUUAAAGGGGGCUUAGGCUCUUGCUUUAAGAUGAACCCAAGUGGGAUUAGCUAGUUGGUGAGGUAAUGGCUCACCAAGGCGACGAUCCCUAGCUGGUCUGAGAGGAUGAUCAGCCACACUGGAACUGAGACACGGCCCAGACUCCUACGGGAGGCAGCAGUGGGGAAUAUUGCACAAUGGGGGGAACCCUGAUGCAGCCAUGCCGCGUGUGUGAAGAAGGCCUUCGGGUUGUAAAGCACUUUCAGUUGUGAGGAAAGGUGUGUAGUUAAUAGCUGCAUACUGUGACGUUAGCAACAGAAGAAGCACCGGCUAACUUCGUGCCAGCAGCCGCGGUAAUACGAGGGGUGCAAGCGUUAAUCGGAAUUACUGGGCGUAAAGCGUUCGUAGGCGGUUGAAUAAGCAAGAUGUGAAAGCCCAGGGCUCAACCUUGGAACUGCAUUUUGAACUGUUCGACUAGAGUACUGUAGAGGGGGGUAGAAUUUCA